GCGCCGCCGCCUCGUCGUAGCGCCAGUAGCGCCGGCCCCGGAUCAGGGCUGAAAGUCCUGCGCCCCGGGAAACGCCACAGGCCUGGCGGGUCACCCUGAGUGGGUAGGAAGCCAACGAUAUGGAGUCAGCGGAGAUCUGAGUGACUCACCUUUGAAGAAGAAGGUUUCCCCACGGAUGUUGGCGAUGGCGUCAAAAUUGCCCUCGCAGCGAUCAGGGCCGGGGAGGGAGGGGCUGCGGAGGAAAGAAGAGAAUGUGCAGCUCCAGCAGGCACUCUCCAUCCGACCACAGCCUGCCGGCCCCGGCGCCCAGCCUCGCU